AGGUGAAAAGCACCCCGGAAGGGGAGUGAAACAGUUCCUGAAACCGUGUGCCUACAAGUAGUUAGAGCCCGUUAAUGGGUGAUAGCGUGCCUUUUGUAGAAUGAACCGGCGAGUUACGAUUUGUUGCAAGGUUAAGCGGAAAAAGCGGAGCCGUAGCGAAAGCGAGUCUGAAUAGGGCGCAUAAGUAACAGGUCGUAGACCCGAAACCAGGUGAUCUACCCAUGUCCAGGAUGAAGGUAAGGUAAUACUUACUGGAGGUCCGAACCCACGCACGUUGAAAAGUGCGGGGAUGAGGUGUGGGUAGCGGAGAAAUUCCAAUCGAACUUGGAGAUAGCUGGUUCUCUCCGAAAUAGCUUUAGGGCUAGCCUCGAGGUAAAGAGUCAUGGAGGUAGAGCACUGUUUGGACUAGGGGCCCUUCUCGGGUUACCGAAUUCAGAUAAACUCCGAAUGCCAUGUACUUAUACUCGGGAGUCAGACUGCGAGUGAUAAGAUCCGUAGUCGAAAGGGAAACAGCCCAGACCACCAGUUAAGGUCCCCAAAUAUAUGUUAAGUGGAAAAGGAUGUGGGGUUGCUUAGACAACCAGGAUGUUGGCUUAGAAGCAGCCACCAUUGAAAGAGUGCGUAAUAGCUCACUGGUCGAGUGACCCCGCGCCGAAAAUGUACCGGGGCUAAACAUAUUACCGAAACUGUGGAUGAACCUCUU
rnacentral:rRNA from 1 species